rnacentral:rRNA from 1 species
GACGAACGCUGGCGGCGUGCUUAACACAUGCAAGUCGAACGGAAAAGCCCUGCUUUUGUGGGGUGCUCGAGUGGCGAACGGGUGAGUAACACGUGAGUAACCUGCCCUUGACUUUGGGAUAACUUCAGGAAACUGGGGCUAAUACCGGAUAGGAGCUCCUGCUGCAUGGUGGGGGUUGGAAAGUUUCGGCGGUUGGGGAUGGACUCGCGGCUUAUCAGCUUGUUGGUGGGGUAGUGGCUUACCAAGGCUUUGACGGGUAGCCGGCCUGAGAGGGUGACCGGCCACAUUGGGACUGAGAUACGGCCCAGACUCCUACGGGAGGCAGCAGUGGGGAAUAUUGCACAAUGGGCGGAAGCCUGAUGCAGCAACGCCGCGUGCGGGAUGACGGCCUUCGGGUUGUAAACCGCUUUCGCCUGUGACCAAGCGUGAGUGACGGUAAUGGGUAAAGAAGCACCGGCUAACUACGUG